UACGUAGGGGGCAAGCGUUGUCCGGAAUCAUUGGGCGUAAAGAGCGCGUAGGCGGCCCGAUAAGUCCGCUGUGAAAGUCAAGGGCUUAACCCUUGAAUGCCGGUGGAAACUGUCGGGCUAGAGUCCGGAAGAGGCGAGUGGAAUUCCUGGUGUAGCGGUGAAAUGCGCAGAUAUCAGGAAGAACACCCGUGGCGAAGGCGGCUCUCUGGGACGGUACUGACGCUGAGACGCGAAAGCGUGGGGAGCGAACAGG
rnacentral:rRNA from 1 species